rnacentral:rRNA from 1 species
CUCGUGUCGUGAGAUGUUCGGUUAAGUCCGCUAACCGAGCGCAACCCUCGUCCGUAUGUUAUAUGUGUCAUACGAGACUGCCGGUAAAAAAGCCGGGAGGAAGGUGAGGAUGAAUGUCAAGUCAGCAUGACCUUUAUAUCCAGGGCUACACACACGCUACAAUGGUCUGUACAAUGGGUAGCCAAGCCGCGAGGCGGAGCCAAUCCUGAAAGCAGGCCUCAGUUCAGAUUGCAGUCUGCAACCCGCCUGCAUGAAGUCGGAGUUGCUAGUAAACGCGCAUCAGCCAUGGCGCGUUGAAUACGUUCCCGGGCCUU